AAGGAAGGUGUUGAUUACCCGAGAGCAUUCAUUUUGCACCCACCGUAUUAUAUUCCCAGGAGAAAACUAAAAGUAUCAGGUGUGCAAGUCCAACUCAGCAUAUCAGAUAUGUGCAGAGGAUCCCAAAGUUUGAUUGUGACACACUUCACUUAGACAGCCCCCUGCUGAUGAAUGUGGUUUCAGAGAAGAAGGAAGACCCCCCCCCAGAGAAGGUAUCG